rnacentral:pre_miRNA from 1 species
AGGGGGAACAGCCCCAGUGGCGGGGCAGCUCUGGAAACCUGGAUUCAGCUCCGGCAGGAACUCCGUCUGCAGGGCCUGGAGGCUCCGGGGCGGG